UCGGGAAUUUUGGGCAAUGGGCGAAAGCCUGACCCAGCAACGCCGCGUGAAGGAUGAAGUAUUUCGGUAUGUAAACUUCGAAAGAAUAGGAAGAAUAAAUGACGGUACUAUUUAUAAGGUCCGGCUAACUACGUGCCAGCAGCCGCGGUAAUACGUAGGGACCAAGCGUUGUUCGGAUUUACUGGGCGUAAAGGGCGCGUAGGCGGCAAUUCAAGUCAUCUGUGAAAUCUCCGGGCUUAACUCGGAACGGUCAGAUGAUACUGCUUUGCUAGAGUGCGGAAGGGGCAAUCGGAAUUCUUGGUGUAGCGGUGAAAUGCGUAGAUAUCAAGAGGAACACCUGAGGUGAAGACGGGUUGCUGGGCUGACACUGACGCUGAGGCGCGAAAGCCAGGGGAGCAAACGGGAUUAGAUACCCCCGUAGUCCCUGAGCGGGCUGGCAAGGCGCAU
rnacentral:rRNA from 1 species